rnacentral:siRNA from 1 species
GACUACACAUAUUUCUCAUACUGC